rnacentral:ncRNA from 1 species
GAUAAUGUAAAAGAAAUGUAUAUUGAUUCGAACGACUUUGAGCAAGAGACCGACACAAGUGGGUAGGUAGAGAAUACCUAGGGACGCGAGACAACUCUCUCUAAGGAACUCGGCAAAAUAGCCUCGUAACUUCGGGAGAAGGGGUGCCUCUUCACAUCACAAAGGGGGUCGCAGUGACCAGGCCCGGGCCACUGUCUACAUAUUUAGUCACG